rnacentral:rRNA from 1 species
GUGUCAGCAGCCGCGGUAAUACGUAGGGUCCGAGCGUUGUCCGGAAUUAUUGGGCGUAAAGAGCUCGUAGGCGGUUUGUCGCGUCUGCUGUGAAAUCCCGAGGCUCAACCUCGGGCCUGCAGUGGGUACGGGCAGACUUGAGUGCGGUAGGGGAGAAUGGAAUUCCUGGUGUAGCGGUGGAAUGCGCAGAUAUCAGGAGGAACACCGAUGGCGAAGGCAGUUCUCUGGGCCGUAACUGACGCUGAGGAGCGAAAGCGUGGGGAGCGAACAGGAUUAGAUACCCCCGUAGUCC